rnacentral:snoRNA from 1 species
AUACCAUGGUGCGGACAUAUAACCAAUAUUCCUUUAAAACGCUCCCACGUCUCAUGCAGUGUAUCCAUUGGUUUCUGUUUAAAGCUCAAAAUUUCAUCAAUUUGUUG